UACUGAAGGAGAAAUGGAGAGGUGGAGAUGUACUGAAGGAGUAAUGAAGUGGUGGAGAUGUACUGAAGGAGUAAUGAAGUGGUGGAGAUGUACUUAUGGAGUAGUGGAGAUGUACUGAUGGAGUAAUGGAGAGGUGGAGAUGUACUUAUGGAGUAAUGGAGUGGUGGAGAUGCACUGAAGGAGAAAUGGAGAGGUGGAGAUGUACUGAAGGAGAAAUUGAGUGGUGGAGAUGUACUGAAGGAGUAAUGAAGUGGUGGAGAUGUACUUAUGGAGUAGUGGAGAUGUACUGAUGGAGUAAUGGAGAGGUGGAGAUGUACUUAUGGAGUAAUGGAGUAGUGGAGAUGUACUUAUGGAGUAGUGGAGAUGUACUGAUGGAGUAAUGGAGAGGUGGAGAUGUACUUAUGGAGUAAUGGAGAGGUGGAGAUGUACUUAUGGAGUAGUGGAGAUGUACUUAUGGAGUAAUGGAGUGGUCGAGAUGUAUUGAAGGAAUAAUGGAGUGAUGGAGAUGUACUUAUGGAGUAAUGGAGUAGUGGAGAUGUACUGAUGGAGUAGUGGAGAUGUACUGAUGGAGUAAUGGAGAGGUGGAGAUGUACUGAAGGAGUAAUGGAGUGAUGGAGAUUAUGGGAGAUGUAGUGAAGGCUGAUAAUAAUAUAUGUGUGCAGGUGAAUGAUGGGAGUUGUAGUGAGGGCUGAUAAUAGUGGGUGCAGGUGAAUUAUGGGAGUUGUAGUGAGGGCU